AAAAGUUACUAGAUCCUAUAUUGACUGUGCUUACUAAUUACAAAAUCUUAGAAAAUGUAAAAAGCCAAGAAAAACAAGAUUAUGUAAUGCAGAUGACAUGCAAUGUAAUGUCUAUUUGUCAGCCUCUCUUUUCAAUUCCAUCACUUGUUUUCUUCACUAUUCAUAACUCUCAGUAACUCCCAUUUAAUACACUCAUCAUCUUAGCUUUGUCUUCUAAUUCAAGCACCAAAGAUUCUCUUCACUUCCCCAUUUUUCUAAUUUUAUCUUUUCUUUUGUCUUUUCUCUUCAUUUUUGUUUUUGUUUUUGAGUUCUAUGAGCCUUUCUUUCUCUUCUUCAAGGCCCAUUUUAGCAAAAGUUUCAAUCUUUGCUUAAUUUGGUUAAAAGGGUAUGUGUCAUUCAAUAUGAAUUGCACAAAUUUUUCAUGAAAAAUUUGGAUUCUUGAAAUUAUUGUCUGAUAGGUUUCUGAUUGUAGAAAGGAAAUUGCAAGAAAAAGGAAGGUGUUUUAAAUGGUACAUUUAGAUUCUUGCUUUUAGCUUUAAUGGUGUAAUAAAGUUAUGAGCUUUUUAGGAAAAUGGGUAAUCAAGAACAUCAAAUUUGAGUUAAAAAGCUGUGAUUUUUCACACUUUUUUUUCAAGAAAGUAUGCCAACAGUGUGGUUUUCUUUGAAGAAAUCACUGCAUUGUAAAUCAGAGCCAUCAGAGGUUCAUGACCCUAAAACCAGGAAGCAAUUGAGCACAAUCUUGACAAGAAAAGCAGGAAGAUCAGGCUGUUCAAGGUCCAUAGCUAAUCUUAAAGAUGUCAUCCAUGGCAGUAAAAGACAUACAGAGAGGCCACCAAGUUGCAGUCCAAGAUCUAUUGGUAGCAGUGAGUUUCUUAAUCCAAUAACUCAUGAAGUUAUUUUGAGUAACUCAAGGUGUGAGCUUAAAAUCACUGGAUUUGGUGGGUCACAGGAAGGGAUUGCCACCGCUGCUGGUGGUGGUGGAGGUGGUGGGAAUUCUACCUUUGUUGGUACUUUAAGGCCUGGAACACCAGGGCCUGGAGGGCAUCCUACAAUGCAUUAUUUUAAUCCUUCAUUUAGAAACUCUGCUACUCCACCAAGAAAAUCUCCAUUUGUUUUGUCUGAUAGAGAAGGGUCUGGAGUGUUUGGUGGUGGUGGUGGUAAUGGUGGACAUUCAAGCACUAGGGUGUCUCUUGAAACAGAUGCUAAUGGUUCUUCUACAAUCACUUGCCAUAAAUGUGGAGAACAGUUUACCAAAUGGGAAGCUGCUGAAAAUCAUCAUCUCUCUAAACAUGCUGUCACUGAACUAGUAGAAGGUGACUCAUCAAGAAAGAUUGUUGAAAUCAUAUGCAGAACAAGUUGGUUAAAGAGCGAAAACCAUUGCGGACGAAUUGAAAGAGUAUUGAAAGUUCAUAAUAUGCAGAAAACUCUAGCGCGCUUCGAAGAAUACAGAGAAAUGGUCAAAAUUAAGGCCAGCAAACUCCCCAAGAAACAUCCUAGGUGCAUUGCAGAUGGAAAUGAGCUACUCAGGUUCUACGGAACCACCAUUGCAUGCUCGCUCGGCCUAAACGGAUCAUCCAGCUUAUGCAUAUCUGAAAAAUGCUGUGUUUGCCGAAUAAUAAGAAACGGAUUCUCUGCAAAGAAAGAGCUUAAAGGCGGAGUAGGUGUUUUCACAACGUCUACUAGCGGCAGAGCUUUUGAAUCUAUUGAAUUAUUAGAAGAAGAUCCCUGCUUAAGAAAAGCUCUAAUAGUAUGCAGAGUGAUAGCAGGAAGAGUUCAUAGACCAUUAGAGAAUAUACAAGAAAUUUCUGGCCAAACAGGCUUUGAUUCAUUAGCAGGAAAAGUUGGUCUCUACUCAAAUAUUGAGGAGCUUUAUCUGCUAAAUCCUAGAGCUCUCCUUCCAUGUUUUGUGGUAAUAUGCAAACCUUGAAGAAAACCUCAGUAAAAAAUGCUAUCAAGUAUACAUUAUUGGUUGAAGAAAACAGCUAUUAAGAUAAGGUGUUAGAGCUAGCUAACCUGUUACUGGAGAUAAGAGAACUUGAAUACUUGAUGGAACAGUUGAAGUAAGAAAUGCACCAGCAACAGUAGUUGUUAUUACCGAAACAAGAUCGAUAUUAUUCUGUUUUGCAUAUUUGAAAGUUGCUUCUUCUGAAACAAGCUUGGAGAGCACGUAAACCUGCAAAACACGGAAAUGUACUUGUCAAAACUUAUUCACUCGGUAGCUUUUUCAGGUUAUGGAAGAGGAAUCAUAGAUUUUACCCAUCCGCUAGCUUUCGUGUUCAAGACAUGAUCUAUCGGAGUCUGGCAAGUUUCAUCGACUACAUCUCUCCAGUUCCCAUCGCUGUCUUUAGCAGUUAGUGUACUAAUGGAGGAUGUGAAAACAACCCGUUUCACGGAUUCAGAUUUCGAGCAUGAUUUUAGAAGGUUCAGCGUUCCGUUAAUCGCAGGAUCAAUAAUAUUUGACUGAAUGUACUCUACAAGUUCACAGAAAGUAAGGAAACUAGUUUGAAACAGUAAACUCCGGCGAGAAUUUUCAUUGAAGAAAUAGAGAAUUGCAUGCUUUUCGAAUUACCAGUGUUGCUGUUCGUUUCGGAACCAAAUUCCAUUGAUGCUGCAACAUGGAAUACACCAUGGCAGCCCUUUACAGGUUCAUCAAAGCUGCCUUCUUCUUGCAAAUCAGCUUUGAACAGUCUCAAUCUGUCAACUCCACUCCAUUGUGACAAUAGAUGUAGUGAUUUUGCUGAUAUUUCAGGUUCCAGUUUGUUUAGUAAGAUUUUCAAUUCAUAAUGGCAAAACAUCUUUUAUUCGCUUUUUUAUAUUAAACUGUUUGAAUUGACAUUCAUCUAAAAUAAAACAUUUUGAAUUGA